rnacentral:snRNA from 1 species
AUCAUUCUUUUGUAGAUAG